GUACGCGAGUCAUUGGGCGUAGCGAACCCAAAGGCGAAAUGAAAGUGAAGGCAACCUCUUGUAGGUGGCCGUGGGAAGAUGGGCCGUCCACGGACGGCUCCGCACUCCCGGGGCGUCUCGUUCUCAUUGCGAGUUGAGGCGCACCCUGAGCGUACACGCUGGGACCCGAAAGAUGGUGAACUAUGCCUGGUCAGGACGAAGUCAGGGGAAACCCUGAUGGAGGUCCGUAGCGAUUCUGACGUGCAAAUCGAUCGUCGGAACUGGGUAUAGGGGCGAAAGACUAAUCGAACCAUCUAGUAGCUGGUUCCCUCCGAAGUUUCCCUCAGGAUAGCUGGCGCUCCCAGAGUUUCAUCUGGUAAAGCGAAUGAUUAGAGGCAUUGGGGACGAAACGUCCUCAACCUAUUCUCAAACUUUAAAUGGGUGAGAUGUUUGACCUUCUUAAACAAUGAGGUCAUUACAUUGAAUCAGAGUGCCAAGUGGGCCACUUUUGGUAAGCAGAACUGGCGCUGUGGGAUGAACCAAACGCAGAGUUAAAGCGCCUAAAUUGACGCUCAUGGGACACUAUGAAAGGCGUUGGUAACUUAAGACAGCAGGACGGUUGCCAUGGAAGUCGGAU
rnacentral:rRNA from 1 species